rnacentral:rRNA from 1 species
ACAGGAAACAGCUUGCUGUUUCGCUGACGAGUGGCGGACGGGUGAGUAAUGUCUGGGAAACUGCCUGAUGGAGGGGGAUAACUACUGGAAACGGUAGCUAAUACCGCAUAACGUCGCAAGACCAAAGAGGGGGACCUUCGGGCCUCUUGCCAUCGGAUGUGCCCAGAUGGGAUUAGCUAGUAGGUGGGGUAACGGCUCACCUAGGCGACGAUCCCUAGCUGGUCUGAGAGGAUGACCAGCCACACUGGAACUGAGACACGGUCCAGACUCCUACGGGAGGCAGCAGUGGGGAAUAUUGCACAAUGGGCGCAAGCCUGAUGCAGCCAUGCCGCGUGUAUGAAGAAGGCCUUCGGGUUGUAAAGUACUUUCAGCGGGGAGGAAGGGAGUAAAGUUAAUACCUUUGCUCAUUGACGUUACCCGCAGAAGAAGCACCGGCUAACUCCGUGCCAGCAGCCGCGGUAAUACGGAGGGUGCAAGCGUUAAUCGGAAUUACUGGGCGUAAAGCGCACGCAGGCGGUUUGUUAAGUCAGAUGUGAAAUCCCCGGGCUCAACCUGGGAACUGCAUCUGAUACUGGCAAGCUUGAGUCUCGUAGAGGGGGGUAGAAUUCCAGGUGUAGCGGUGAAAUGCGUAGAGAUC